rnacentral:lncRNA from 1 species
UGUUGUCGCGGAUGGCUGGAAACUAUUUAACCGGAGGCGUGUAAUCACUGAACUAAGGAAUUAUCCGCAUACAUUGCGUAACUCCCCCAGAAUACAACCGGUUCUUCUCGGUGAUAAACAUACCGAGGCUAUCAAGACACGAGAAUAUUAACAAGGUUGGUAACUCAGGCACUUAUUAGAAAAUACUUUGUUUUGAGGAUUAGAUAUAUGAAACACAAUGAAUUUAGGGAUGUAUUCAUCUCUUAGAACUUUUCUUCUCUGUUUUUAUAUAAACCAUACAUAUAUAUUGACCAAGUUAUAAAGC